UCUUCCUGUCCCCAUGACAGGUGUCUCUCUCUCUUCCUGUCCCCCAGGACAGGUGUCUCUCUCUCUCUCUCCUGUGUGUUCCAGGGAUGAGGGAUUCACCGUCGAAAAAUGUUCGCAUUUCAACCUGAUCAUUUUCAAGUUUCUUUCACACUGAAAUGAAGUGCAUGACUCAGGUCACACUCCUGCAUCCUUAUGUGACAUAUGAUCUGAGUUGUCCUGAAAAAAUAGAUGUUAUGGACUGUGAUUGUUUUUCAAAAGGAAAAAGCAAAGGUGUGAAACAAAAAUCAGUUUCCAGCAGCUGUUGGUGGUAAAGUGUCCAGUGCCCACCACAGCCAGAGAGAAAGGUCAGUGUAAAUCAAGUUAUUACCAUUAAUAAUAUAUUGCAUUGUUUUUCUUAAAUUUCAUCAUCCUGUUUUAAGUGUUGUUUACCUGAUACUCACGCAGUCAUGAGCACAUCAGGACUGAUCCAAUGUGAUUGUAGAAUGUCUGCAUUUUAUGUAGUUUACAAGUGUUUUCGUGCUACCUGUCAAAAUCACUUUAAACCAUUUAAAUAAUUUUAAAUCACUUUAAACCACGUUGUCUUGAAAGGUGUAAACACUGUUUUAUUGACUUUUAAUACAAUUAGUAUUUCUAUAGAUUUUAAAAUUAGAAAUGUUUAUAGUAUUAUACAGCAAGUUUUUUAGAGUAUAUACUAACCGUUAACGUUCAUGUUACUAACCUGUCUGUUUUGCCUUUUUGUUAUUUUUGUUUUUGUAUGUAAGCUGCUGAAUAUUUUGAAUUUCCCUCGGGAUUAAUAAAGCGUCUGUCCGUCGAGUCGUCGGAUCCUCUUGAUCCUCAUCAGGGUCAUGGGGGGCUGGAGUCUAUCCCAGCUGACUGCGGGUGAAGGCAGGGGACACCUGGACAGGGGGAGGUGGUGCACUGGCUGGCCUGUUGGCUGGAUGCAGCCUGCAGGAAGGGCUCCACUCCCACAGUGGGUAAAGGACUGAUGGAGGGAGGAUCCUUCACUCGUCCAAACUCAGACAUAAAAUAUAAUGAGGCGAAACGAGAGUGGUGUCUUUCAAUGUGUUUACUUCUGAACUGCCAGACCAGACUGCCAAACAUGGGGUAACAGGCAUCCCAUAAUACCUUGCGCAGGUACUUCUUAAAGUGACCAUAACACUGUUUUAUACAUUACAAAUAUCAAUAUUGUAUUACUCAUAUGUGACAUCAAGUUCAGUGUUCAGCUAGCAGUGCCUUAAAAAAAUAAAUCCUAACAUGUCCUUGUCUCAGUCUGAUCCAGUUCUUCUCUAAGAUGAGGAAGUGGGCCGACAUGUCCAACCUCUCGCAGGACUUCAGGCUACAAAUGGAUGGCUGGAGCGAAACUUUGAGGUCUCCACCGUGAUCUUCCGCAAGUUUGAUGUCUUGAUUUAGUAAUGAGUCGUGGCCCCUCCAGUCAGGAAGC